UCCCUGGUGGUCCAGUGGUUAAGACUCUGCUUCCAAUGCAGAGGGCCAAGGUUCGAUCCCUGGUCAGGGAA